AACGGCGAGUGAAGCGGCAAAAGCUCAAAUUUGAAAUCUGGCUCCUUAGGGGGUCCGAGUUGUAAUUUGUAGAGGAUGCUUCGGGUGCGGCCACGGCCUAAGUUCCUUGGAACAGGACGUCAUAGAGGGUGAGAAUCCCGUCUUGGGUCGUUGGUCCACGCCCGUGUGAAGCUCCUUCGACGAGUCGAGUUGUUUGGGAAUGCAGCUCUAAGCGGGUGGUAAAUUUCAUCUAAAGCUAAAUAUUGGCCGGAGACCGAUAGCGCACAAGUAGAGUGAUCGAAAGGUUAAAAGCACCUUGAAAAGGGAGUUAAACAGCACGUGAAAUUGUUGAAAGGGAAGCGCUUGCGGCCAGACUCGAGCGCGGGGCUCAUCAGGUGCGUGUCACCUGUGCACUCCCCGCCGCUCGGGCCAGCAUCAGUUCUGACGGCCGGUCAAAGGCCCCCGGAAUGUGUCGUCUCUCGGGACGUCUUAUAGCCGGGGGUGCAAUGCGGCCCGCCGGGACUGAGGAACGCGCUUCGGCUCGGAUGCUGGCAUAAUGGCCGUAAGCGGCCCGUCUUGAAACACGGACCAAGGAGUCUAACAUCCACGCGAGUGUUCGGGUGUCAAACCCGUGCGCGCAGUGAAAGCGAACGGAGGUGGGAGCCUUAGGGCGCACCAUCGACCGAUCCUGAAGUCUUCGGAUGGAUUUGAGUAGGAGCGUGGCCGUUGGGACCCGAAAGAUGGUGAACUAUGCCUGAAUAGGGUGAAGCCAGAGGAAACUCUGGUGGAGGCUCGCAGCGGUUCUGACGUGCAAAUCGAUCGUCAAAUUU
rnacentral:rRNA from 1 species